CCUACGGGAGGCAGCAGUAGGGAAUCUUCCACAAUGGGCGAAAGCCUGAUGGAGCAACGCCGCGUGGGUGAAGAAGGUCUUCGGAUCGUAAAACACUGUUGUUAGAGAAGAAAGUGCGUGAGAGUAACUGUUCACGUUUCGACGGUAUCUAACCAGAAAGCCACGGCUAACUCCGUGCCAGCAGCCGCGGUAAUACGUAGGUGGCAAGCGUUAUCCGGAUUUAUUGGGCGUAAAGGGAACGCAGGCGGUCUUUUAAGUCUGAUGGGAAAGCCUUCGGCUUAACCGGAGUAGUGCAUUGGAAACUGGGAGACUUGAGUGCAGAAGAGGAGAGUGGAACUCCAUGUGUAGCGGUGAAAUGCGUAGAUAUAUGGAAGAACACCAGUGGCGAAAGCGGCUCUCUGGUCUGUAACUGACGCUGAGGUUCGAAAGCGUGGGUAGCAAACAGGAUUAGAUACCCGGGUAGUC
rnacentral:rRNA from 1 species